AGAAGAAGUUGGCCCAGUUUGGAUCUGUCUGCAUGAACCUGAACUCAAACAGCUCCCUGAGACACAACUGGAGGAUGUUGAAACAGAUCUGGAGACGGAAGGAGAGGAGAGAUUUCUCAUGGUACUUGGUACAGUGCACUGCCACACACUCACCACGUCCAAAGAUGCUGACUUACCUGCACCACUCACACAUUUCAAUGACAUUGAGGAAAUUCCAUGACAAAUGGGAUCCAUGUACUUGUUGAGUCAACCCAUACCUGGUUCCUGGUCUCCUGAUCCAGGUCUACACAGCGGUCCAGUGGGAC